GUGAAUAAAUGGGGCAGCGUCGACUGCUGGCUCUCCCAUUGAGUUGGCCAUCUCCUUAUCUCUGGUUCGGUGUAAAAUCGCUAGGUUUUUGAGCUUUCAGAGAUGUUUGGUGUGUAUUCCAACACCAGUCCGUCAGGGUCUGUUCGAGUUCUGUUGGCAAGUUCGUCUGCGACUUCAUUUCCAUGUAUGCCAGCAUGACUAGGAAUCCAUACGAAGUGUGCUGGAUUCCCAUUUGAAGUUGGAUAUGGCCUGUAUUGCUGAUUUGGAGUCUGUGAGAAUAGUGAUAUCUGGCCAGUCGAGUGGUUUAGGUAUGUAAAAGGCACAGGAGGAAAUGUUUGUGAGUUCGCAGCACGAACCAUCUGUGUAAAUGGUUAGGUUAUCUGUGGGUUCAUUUUCCAUCAGCUUUCUAAAUAUUUCUUGGGUUCCAAGGGGCUAUAGGCUCUAUCCAGGGAUUGUAGCUCGGCAUUAGGGAGAAACAUUCUUCGGAGUUGAUACGCAUCUUAUUUAAAUGGGGGAUUACUGCCGGUAUGCUUCUGGGUUUCCAGGUUUUAAUGUUGUUCAGUGUAUUUUGGAUUGUGGAGUAGGCUGGGUUCCAUGGCUUGGUGUUGAGUUUGUUUAGGUAUCUUGAUGCUAAGAGAUCCCACCUAUCUUUGAUUGAGGUUAGUCCUGUUUCAAGGUAGAUAAGGGAGGUGGGUAAUAUUUAAUUAUAGAACGUCUAUUGUUUUAUUGAUUCCGAUAAUUUUGUCAUUAAAAAUAUUCAGAUUUUUAAAAAUAUUUCAAUUUAGCAUGAAUACUGUCGUCGGGGGUUAUUUUGAACAUGCAAUGUGGGGUAAAAUUACACUGCAAGGGGGAUACGGAGAAAAAGCACAUUGGGGAAAACACUCCCUUUUUAACGGCGUCGCCCCAAAUUGUCCAACUGGGUUCAACCCUUAUUUUUAUUUUGAAAUUUAAGCAACUAAUUGCUUGAAUUUAAAAUAGGUUUUUAGACAAAAGAUAAAAAAAACAUUACAAGAUUCCUUCAGUAAUAUCCUUCGGUAAUUUUUUUAAACGUUAAAGAGACAGAAAAUAAAGGUUAUGGUAGAUUAAUACAUACUAUAACGUUUGGAAAA